GACGAACGCUGGCGGCGUGCCUAAUACAUGCAAGUAGAACGCUGAAGGAGGAGCUUGCUUCUCUGGAUGAGUUGCGAACGGGUGAGUAACGCGUAGGUAACCUGCCUGGUAGCGGGGGAUAACUAUUGGAAACGAUAGCUAAUACCGCAUAAGAGUAGAUGUUGCAUGACAUUUGCUUAAAAGGUGCAAUUGCAUCACUACCAGAUGGACCUGCGCUGUAUUAGCUAGUUGGUGGGGUAACGGCUCACCAAGGCGACGAUACAUAGCCGACCUGAGAGGGUGAUCGGCCACACUGGGACUGAGACACGGCCCAGACGCCUACGGGAGGCAGCAGUAGGGAAUCUUCGGCAAUGGACGGAAGUCUGACCGAGCAACGCCGCGUGAGUGAAGAAGGUUGUCGGAUCGUAAAGCUCUGUUGUAAGAGAAGAACGAGUGUGAGAGUGGAAAGUUCACACUGUGACGGUAGCUUACCAGAAAGGGACGGCUAACUACGUG
rnacentral:rRNA from 1 species